UACGUAGGGGGCAAGCGUUGUCCGGAUUUAUUGGGCGUAAAGAGCGUGUAGGCGGCCAGAUAGGUCCGUUGUGAAAACUGGAGGCUUAACCUCCAGCUGUCGAUGGAAACCAUCUGGCUAGAGUCCGGAAGGAGGAGAGUGGAAUUCCUGGUGUAGCGGUGGAAUGCGCAGAUAUCAGGAGGAAUACCAACGGCGAAGGCAGCCCGCUGGGACGGUACUGACGCUAAGGCGCGAAAGCGUGGGGAGCGAACAGG
rnacentral:rRNA from 1 species